AUUGAACGCUGGCGGCAUGCCUUACACAUGCAAGUCGAACGGUAACAGGUCUUCGGAUGCUGACGAGUGGCGAACGGGUGAGUAAUACAUCGGAACGUGCCCGAGAGUGGGGGAUAACGAGGCGAAAGCUUUGCUAAUACCGCAUACGAUCUCAGGAUGAAAGCAGGGGACCGCAAGGCCUUGCGCUCACGGAGCGGCCGACGGCAGAUUAGGUAGUUGGUGGGAUAAAAGCUUACCAAGCCGACGAUCUGUAGCUGGUCUGAGAGGACGACCAGCCACACUGGGACUGAGACACGGCCCAGACUCCUACGGGAGGCAGCAGUGGGGAAUUUUGGACAAUGGGCGCAAGCCUGAUCCAGCCAUGCCGCGUGCAGGAUGAAGGCCUUCGGGUUGUAAACUGCUUUUGUACGGAACGAAAAGACUCCUUCUAAUAAAGGGGGUUCAUGACGGUACCGUAAGAAUAAGCACCGGCUAACUACGUGCCAGCCGCCGCCGUAAUAC
rnacentral:rRNA from 1 species